rnacentral:rRNA from 1 species
AAUAAGAGGUCCCGCCUGCCCUGUGACUAUAAGUUUAACGGCCGCGGUAUUUUGACCGUGCGAAGGUAGCGCAAUCACUUGUCUUUUAAAUGAAGACCUGUAUGAAUGGCACGACGAGGGCUUGACUGUCUCCUCUUUCCAGUCAAUGAAAUUGAUCUCCCCGUGCAGAAGCGGGGAUAUAACCAUAAGACGAGAAGACCCUAUGGAGCUUUAGACACAAAAGUACCCCCUGUUAAACACCCCUGUUUAAAGGGCUAAACCAAGGGGAUCCUACCCUAAUGUCUUUGGUUGGGGCGACCGCGGGGAAACACAAAACCCCCAUGUGGAACGGGACCACCUAUUCCUAAAACAGAGAGCUACAGCUCCAAGAAACAAAAUUUUUGACCUCCAGAUCCGGCAAAGCCGAUCAACGGACCGAGUUACCCUAGGGAUAACAGCGCAAUCCUCUUUUAGAGCCCAUAUCGACAAGAGGGUUUACGACCUCGAUGUUGGAUCAGGACAUCCUAAUGGUGCAGCCGCUAUUAAGGGUUCGUUUGUUCAACGAUUAAAGUCCU